rnacentral:misc_RNA from 1 species
CAGAGACUUCACACAAAUUUGCAGUAAAGAGGAAUUUCUAAUUUGUUGGGGUUAGACUAUAAAAAUCUUUAUAGAAGAGGGAGUGAUAACAAAGCUGCAGAUGCUCUCUCCAGGAAGCCACAUUCUGCUACUCAAAGGGUUUAUGCACUUCAUUCUGUAAUUGUUCCAACUUAGAAAAACCUCUUAAUUGCUAGCAACAAGCAAGAUGAUAAAGCUAAUAUUUUAGUGGCUCAACUUUCAGCAGAUGAUGCUGCUCAUUCCAAGUAUCUGUUGAAGCAAGGGCUAUUGUAUUAUGAAGGAA